rnacentral:rRNA from 1 species
GACAGAGGGGGCAAGCGUUGCUCGGAAUCACUGGGCGUAAAGGGCGCGUAGGCAGGACGGUCAAGUCGGUCGUGAAAUCCCUGGGCUCAACUCAGGGGGGGUCGGCCGAUACUGCCGUUCUUGAGGGAUGCAGAGGAGACUGGAAUUCCCGGUGUAGCGGUGAAAUGUGUAGAGAUCGGGAGGAACACCGGUGGCGAAGGCGGGUCUCUGGGCAUUCCCUGACGCUGAGGCGCGAAAGCGUGGGGAGCAAACAGG